GGGGUUGUGGCUCAGUGGUAGAGCACUUGCCUAGCAUACAUGAGGCCCUGGGUUUGAUUCUCAGCACCA
rnacentral:tRNA from 1 species